rnacentral:rRNA from 1 species
UUCCUACGGGAGGCAGCAGUAGGGAAUUUUCGUCAAUGGGCGCAAGCCUGAACGAGCAAUGCCGCGUGAACGAGGAAGGUCUUCGGAUCGUAAAGUUCUGUUGAAGGGGAAAAAGAGCGGAGAGAGGAAAUGAACUCCGAUUGAUAUUACCCUUCGAGGAAGUCACGGCUAACUACGUGCCAGCAGCCGCGGUAAUACGUAGGUGGCGAGCGUUAUCCGGAAUGAUUAGGCGUAAAGGGAGCGCAGGCGGCGCGCCAAGUCUGAUGUGAAACCCCGGGGCUCAACCCCGGGCAUGCAUUGGAAAC